rnacentral:rRNA from 1 species
UCCUUCGGCCAUACCACCCUGAACGCGCCCCAUCUCGGCUGAUGUCAGGAGCUAAGCAGGGUCGGGCCUGGUUAGUACUUGGAUGGGAGAAAGAGCUCUCCUCUCCGGAAUAGCAAUUGACUCGGGCC